rnacentral:rRNA from 1 species
CUGGCGUAAAGCGCGCGUAGGUGGUUUGUUAAGUUGGAUGUGAAAGCCUGGGCUCAACCUAGGAACUGCAUCCAAAACUAACUCACUAGAGUACGAUAGAGGGAGGUAGAAUUCAUAGUGUAGCGGUGGAAUGCGUAGAUAUUAUGAAGAAUACCAGUGGCGAAGGCGGCCUCCUGGAUCUGUACUGACACUGAGGUGCGAAAGCGUGGGUAGCGAACAGGAUUAGAUACCCUGGUAGUCCACGCCGUAAACGAUGACAACUAGCUGUUAGGAGACUAUGUCUUUUAGUGGCGCAGCUAACGUUUUAAGUUGUCCGCCUGGGGAGUACGGCCGCAAGGCUAAAACUCAAAUGAAUUGACGGGGACCCGCACAAGCAGUGGAUCAUGUGGUUUAAUUCGAUGCAACGCGAAAAACCUUACCUACUCUUGACAUACUUGGAAGCUCUUGUAAUGAGAGUGUGCUUUUAAGAACCAAGAUACAGGUGCUGCAUGGCUGUCGUCAGCUCGUGUCGUGAGAUGUUCCGUUAAGUCGGAUAACGAGCGCAACCCUUACCCUUAUUUGCCAGCGAUUCGGUCGGGAACUAUAAGGGGACUGCCGGUGAUAAACCGGAGGAAGGUGAGGACGACGUCAAGUCAUCAUGGCCCUUACGAGUAGGGCUACACACGUGAUACAAUGGGAGAGACAGACGGACGCUAAGCCGCGAGGUGGUGCUAAUCCUAGAAACUCUCUCGUAGUCCGGAUUGGAGUCUGCAACUCGACUCCAUGAAGUUGGAAUUGCUAGUAAUCGCGGAUCAGCAUGCCGCGGUGAAUACGUUCUCGGGUCUUGUACACACCGCCCGUCACACCAUGGAAGUGGAUUGCACCAGAAGUAGAUAGUCUAACCUUAGGGAAGGCGUUUACCACGGUGUGCUUCAUGACUGGGGUGAAGUCGUAACAAGGUAACCA